CUCUGGCUGCCUGGGAUCUUCCCCAUUUUACACUUAGUCUGCAGCCAUUGGUGAUUAACUUAUUAAAGGACUUCUCUACAGCCACUUGUGCAGCCUGCCCUGUGGAAACCUGGAUGAAAGCACACCGCUGUCUCUGCACAACAGGGAUUGUCCAGAUCUCUCUAAAUAGGUAGAGAUUAUUUCUUAAGAUCUGUCUCAGUAAUGGUAUCACCCGGAUCACCGGUGUCUAGUGUGGGGAUAGUCUUAUCCUCUGGGAGUUCCAGAUGAGGCGUGGCUGAAGCCUACUAUAGAAGCUUAUCUGCUACACGGUCGUUGACUAUAUAAUAUCAGUUUUUAAUAUCUGAUCAGCAAGGGAAUCAUGUGGACCUGUAGGCUUCUCAUGUCUCUAUCGAAACUCCUCUCCUCUCUUACCCUCUCCCUUCACCCAGAAGGAGCAAAUGUGGGGCUUAUUCUUUAGGUAAUAGGGUAUGGUCCAGGCCAGUUUGUCUAGCAUGUCACUGGUGGAUGUGGCUUUCCCCAGCAGGCCAACUGGCUGUCUUCCAUUCGAGUUAGAAAUCCCUCUCUCCACAUUCUGCGUGUAGUACUCUUCUCUUCUCUGACAUCUGACUUUGGCAUGUCAUCUUUUUUUUACAACGCAGCAUCACAAACCUAGGUGGGCAGGCCAUGCUCCAGGUCUAAGAGGCAGGUCUGACAGACAUACUUCAGGCUUCUGCAGGUUCGACAUACUUUAUUUUUCUUGAAAUGCAUGUGGGCCCCAGGGCACCAGCAAAACAUUGUGAAUGGCCUGGCACAGAUUUCUCAUUUUUCUCAUACUUUUCUUUGGUCAUUCAGAUAUAAUGGGUUUCCUCUAAGACAUGUCUGAUACAGAAUGGAGAAGUAUGCAUUUUCCCAGUGUUUCCUGUUUAAGGUGUUGAAACCAAGACAGGUC
rnacentral:lncRNA from 1 species